UUCAUUUGUAUAUAAAUGAAUUUGUUAUUGGUUAAUUGGUUUAGAGGCAGUUUACCCCUUAUAUAUAGUGGAUAUGGUACUAAAAGACCGCUGAAAAUUGCAAGUGGUUCGUACAUGCAAAUGGCAAUUAGUACUUUAUGAAAGUUAUAAGUCAUGUUGGUCCACUCCAAUUAUAUAUGUUCUUGAACGAGUGUUUGUCUACUCAUCCUCCACUCCAAAAUCUUAGUUAUUUCCUGUCUGAAACCAACCUUGCCAAUUUGGUCGUUUUUAAUUAUAUCGUAAAUAAGUACAGUGAAACCUCUAUAAAUUAAUAAUGUUGGGACUACACCAAAACUAUAAUUUUUAUUAAUUUAUAAAGAUAUUAAUUUAUCGAUAUACUAAUUAAACCAAAAACUCCAUUUGAGACUAUAAAAUUAUAUUAUUUUAUAGAGAUUUUUAGUGUAUAUUAAUUUAUAGAGUAUUAAUUUAAAGAGGUUAUACUGUAUAUACUUUUUCAUAUGUUCUUCGUGUGGAAGUGGAAGUGGUUAUCCACAACUACAAUCUUGACAUAAUAUGAUUAGAAGAGAUUAUAGACCAAUUAAUCAAAUCUCCUUUGACGACCAAAGACUGGUGAGGGACUCUCUUGAUGUCAACAAAAGUAGAGUAGUCUUUGUUCAUUGCAUGUUUCCAAGGUUCCCCAUCUUUUUGCAUAAACGCAUCUCUCCAUUCUACUCCUCUUAUCUCUAGCCGUGUCGCCGCUGGCCUGUCAGUUAUAAACACGUUCUUGUGCUUUUUUUUUAUGUAGCAACUGAAAUAAAAAAAAUGGUGACACGAAGACUUCCUAAAAAAUCACAUAUCUUAAUGCUACUCUCGUUCAAGCACGCUUAACUACGGAGGAGUUCUGAUGGGAUCCAUGCAUUAGCACUAGUAAAAAUCUUCCGCAUAGCCACGGUAGUGCCAGUGUAAAAUCGUGGCUUAUUUGAAAAAGUCACUGUUUAGCUACGGUUAGCCACAAUUUUUUAAAAAGCCACGAUUAUUCUUUUAUAGCCACGAUUCAGUCACUAAAUAAUCAUGGUUAUUUUAGUAGCCACGAUUUAGCUACGAAAUAACAGUGGCGAAUCGUUAGCCACGACUCAUCCACUUUAUUUUUGUGGCUAUUUAGUUUUUCUAUACCCUAAACCUUAAACUUCAAAAUUAAAUUAUAUAUCCUAGAUACUAAAACCAAAAUACAAAUAUAACAUCUUUUCAAACUUUAAAUAUAAAUGUUAAAUUUAAAUUCUAAAUAUAAAUUUCUUUAAAAUCCAUUAUAAAUCUUAAACCUAAACCCUUAACUUAAACUUUACAUACAAAAACCAUAAAUCUAAUGUUUUCAAACCACAAACCUUAUAUCAUACAUUAAAUCACAAAUAUUUAAAUCUAAUUAAACCCAAAAUUUAUAUAUUUCAAACUCUAAAAACAUUUAUACUUUCAAUUAUUUAAUCUUAACAUUUACAUUUAAUCCUUAACAAGUAUACUCAAAUCCUAUUUCUCAAACUAUAAACUCUAUAUUGUAAACAUAUAUCAUUAAACCAUGAAGCAUUAUAUCUUAAAUUCAAAAUAUUGAAAUUUAAAUUGAAAAUCUUAUCAAUUUUCUUUAGGUUAUGCACUAUAAUCAUAAGCUAACAACUAAAUAAUAAAAAGAAAAGAAAUACUGAAAUCUAAUGCUAAUUCCUAAACUAACUUCUCAUUGGUCAAAAGAAGAAAGGAACGGAUUACCCCCUGUUAGAUCACAACCAUUCAUAAAGAUCCAUCGAACGGCCACAACUACACACGCUUUUUAUGUUUAUUUUUAAUUUAUUUUCUUCUUCCUUCUCUUCUCUCGUCUCUGAUUUUUUUCUAGAUCUAAGUUUCGUUUUCACACAGAUCUCUCUACCGCUCACACAUCUCUCCAUCUCUGCUCACAGAAGAAACAUCAAUGCCUCUACUCACAUAUCUAUGUUUGUUUCUUAUCAGUUGUGUAUGUAUUUGAUUUUGUUUUGAUAGAUGACAGAGACGGAGGUGGACUGCGACGGUAACGAAGAUGGAGAGACAUAGAUGGCUGAGGAAGAAGACGCGACGGCAGGAAGAAGCGGAGAUUUUUAAACUAGGAAGAAGAAGAAGAAGGAGAAAAGACAAAGGAAGAAGAAGAAAAGCCAAGAUGAAGCUUCGCUGGCUCCUUCCAGAGCCAAUAUUGAAGAAGAUGAAGGUGGUGCGGUGGUGCGUGUAUCACCGGCGACACGGGGGUGGGCUAUCACCGGAGGAAUGUUGCGCGUGGUUCAUGGCCUGGUGCGCGUGGUGCUGUGCGAGGAUAUACAUAUAUAAUAAACAUGUAAUUUAUAAGAUUUUAUAUUUUAUUAAUAAAUUAUUUUAUUUUUUA